rnacentral:rRNA from 1 species
UAGGGAAUCUUCCACAAUGGACGAAAGUCUGAUGGAGCAACGCCGCGUGAGUGAUGAAGGGUUUCGGCUCGUAAAACUCUGUUGUUGGAGAAGAACAGGUGAUAGAGUAACUGUUAUCAUCUUGACGGUAUCCAACCAGAAAGCCACGGCUAACUACGUGCCAGCAGCCGCGGUAAUACGUAGGUGGCAAGCGUUGUCCGGAUUUAUUGGGCGUAAAGCGAGCGCAGGCGGUUUUUUAGGUCUGAUGUGAAAGCCUUCGGCUUAACCGGAGAAGGGCAUCGGAAACCGGGAGACUUGAGUGCAGAAGAGGACAGUGGAACUCCAUGUGUAGCGGUGAAAAUGCGUAGAUAUAUGGAAGAACACCAGUGGCGAAGGCGGCUGUCUGGUCUGUAACUGACGCUGAGGCUCGAAAGCAUGGGUAGCGAACAGGAUUAGAUACCCUGGUAGUCCAUGCCGUAAACGAUGAGUGCUAAGUGUUGGAGGGUUUCCGCCCUUCAGUGCUGCAGCUAACGCAUUAAGCACUCCGCCUGGGGGAGUACGACCGCAAGGUGAAAC